UGGAGACGUUCUUGGUGAAAGCUGUGGUC
rnacentral:piRNA from 1 species